GAUAAUAGCGAGGCAGCAGUGCAGCUUUCAGAGGGUCCGGGCUCAGAGGGGUUAUGAUUCGGAGGGUUCUGCCGCACGGCAUGGGCCGGGGCCUCUUGACCCGGAGGCCAGGCACGCGCAGAGGAGGCUUUUCUCUGGGUAAAGUUGAGGACGACAGAGGGUAUUGUGGUUCUGGGUUGUCCCCAACCUCCGACUGUGUGUCCUUCAGGACCCGAAACCAUGGCCCACACUGGCAGGACAGUGGGUCGGCUUGGGGAAGGGGACUGGGAUGGAAAGGUGUCUGAGAUUAAGAAGAAGAUCAAGUCGAUCCUGCCUGGAAGGUCCUGUGAUCUACUGCAAGACACCAGCCACCUGCCUCCCGAGCACUCGGAUGUGGUGAUCGUGGGAGGUGGGGUGCUUGGCUUGUCUGUGGCCUAUUGGCUGAAGAAGCUGGAGAGCAGACGAGGUGCUAUUCGAGUGCUAGUGGUGGAACGGGACCACACGUAUUCACAGGCCUCCACUGGGCUCUCAGUAGGUGGGAUUUGUCAGCAGUUCUCAUUGCCUGAGAACAUCCAGCUCUCCCUCUUUUCAGCCAGCUUUCUACGGAACAUCAAUGAGUACCUGGCCGUAGUCGAUGCUCCUCCCCUGGACCUCCGGUUCAACCCCUCGGGCUACCUCUUGCUGGCUUCAGAAAAGGAUGCUGCAGCCAUGGAGAGCAACGUGAAAGUGCAGAGGCAGGAGGGAGCCAAAGUUUCUCUGAUGUCUCCUGAUCAGCUUCGGAACAAGUUUCCCUGGAUAAACACAGAGGGAGUGGCUUUGGCGUCUUAUGGGAUGGAGGACGAAGGUUGGUUUGACCCCUGGUGUCUGCUCCAGGGGCUUCGGCGAAAGGUCCAGUCCUUGGGAGUCCUUUUCUGCCAGGGAGAGGUGACACGUUUUGUCUCUUCAUCUCAACGCAUGUUGACCACAGAUGACAAAGCGGUGGUCUUGAAAAGGAUCCAUGAAGUCCAUGUGAAGAUGGACCGCAGCCUGGAGUACCAGCCUGUGGAAUGCGCCAUUGUGAUCAACGCAGCCGGAGCCUGGUCUGCGCAAAUCGCAGCACUGGCUGGUGUUGGAGAGGGGCCGCCUGGCACCCUGCAGGGCACCAAGCUACCUGUGGAGCCGAGGAAAAGGUAUGUGUAUGUGUGGCACUGCCCCCAGGGACCAGGCCUAGAGACUCCGCUUGUUGCAGACACCAGUGGAGCCUAUUUUCGCCGGGAAGGAUUAGGUAGCAACUACCUAGGUGGUCGUAGCCCCACUGAGCAGGAAGAACCGGACCCGGCGAACCUGGAAGUGGACCAUGAUUUCUUCCAGGACAAGGUGUGGCCCCAUUUGGCCCUGAGGGUCCCAGCUUUUGAGACUCUGAAGGUUCAGAGCGCCUGGGCCGGCUAUUACGACUACAACACCUUUGACCAGAAUGGCGUGGUGGGCCCCCACCCGCUAGUUGUCAACAUGUACUUUGCUACUGGCUUCAGUGGUCACGGGCUCCAGCAGGCCCCUGGCAUUGGGCGAGCUGUAGCAGAGAUGGUACUGAAGGGCAGGUUCCAGACCAUCGACCUGAGCCCCUUCCUCUUUACCCGCUUUUACUUGGGAGAGAAGAUCCAGGAGAACAACAUCAUCUGAGCAUGUGUGCUCUGCACUGGCUCCACUGGCUUGCAUCCUGGCUGUGUUCACAGCCUUGUUUGCUGCUUCCAUCUUCCCCAGUACUGUGCCAGGCCUUCUCCCCCUCCCCAGUGUCCUCUCCUCUCAGGCAGGCCAUUGCACCCAUAUGGCUGGGCAGGCACAGGCAGUGAGGCCGAGGCCAAUAGCGAGUGAUGAGCGGGAUCCUAGGACUGAUCUGUAGCCCAUGCUGAUGUCACCCACCAGGGCAAUCCAUCUGGAGGCCUGAGCACCCUGGCCCAGGACUGGCUUCAUCCUGGCACUGACCAGGAAAGACUGCCUCUGACCCUCUUAGCAGACAGAGCCCAGGCAUGGGAGCACUCUGGGGCAGCCUGGCUCAGGUUUAUUGAUUUUCGUCUGUUUACCCUAUCCAUUAAUCAAUACAUGUAAUUAACUCCUUC